UUGUCUCAUUGAGGACACAGUAGCUUUGCAGCUCUGAAGACAGAACAGCUAAAAGAUAAUCUGGGAAUCCUUUAUCCCCCUAUUGAGAGUUUUGAAGACUCCAAUCUUGCCGAGUCUAUACAUCAAGAGGACAACGGGGUAGGAAACACAACAUCGACUCCUCUGAAAAACAGGCAUCAAACAACCAAAGACUCCUCCAAGGCCUAUACAAACACAGAAGACCCAAUACAACAAGAGGAAGAGGAGGAAGAGGACGCUGAAGACAUACUGAGUAAAACACCUAAACCGGUUGAUACAUUCAAUGGUGUUAAUGUCGAGGAUGAUGAGGUCAAUGAUGGUUCUGAUGAAGGGUUGAGCUAUGAUGAGGAUGAUGUGUUGAUGAGG